GUACCAUCUUCUUAAACCUACUUGAGACAUCAAAAACAUAACCAGGUAGAGAACCAUAUAUAUGAGCUGCAGUCAACAUACUGAGUCUGAAAAAUAAUGAAAUGCUUGUUGUUUGAGGUACCAGCUCACCACCAAGAACAAGUGAAGAAAAAUAAAUGUGUCCGCCAUUUCUCACACCCCCUGCUUCAGUCUCUCUUCCUGCUAAGGAAAAGUGCAAAAACCUUCUAUAGGCAGUCCACACAUGGUGUUGGUAUCUGCCCAUCUACUGGUGAGUCCUCAAGGAGCCUUUAUUCAUGGCAGAAGGCAAAGUGGGAGCAGGCAUGUCACAUGGCAAGAGUGCAAGCAAGAAGAAGGCCCUACCUCCAACACUGGGAACCACAUUUCAUCAUGAGAUUUGGAGGAGACAAACAUCCAAGCCGUGUCAUACAGAAAAAGAUUUCUAAAAAAUAA
rnacentral:lncRNA from 13 species